rnacentral:rRNA from 1 species
UGGGGAAUUUUGGACAAUGGGCGCAAGCCUGAUCCAGCCAUGCCGCGUGCGGGAAGAAGGCCUUCGGGUUGUAAACCGCUUUUGUCAGGGAAGAAAUCUUCUGAGUUAAUACCUCGGGAGGAUGACGGUACCUGAAGAAUAAGCACCGGCUAACUACGUGCCAGCAGCCGCGGUAAUACGUAGGGUGCAAGCGUUAAUCGGAAUUACUGGGCGUAAAGCGUGCGCAGGCGGUUUUGUAAGACAGAGGUGAAAUCCCCGGGCUCAACCUGGGAACUGCCUUUGUGACUGCAAGGCUUGAGUGCGGCAGAGGGGGGAUGGAAUUCCGCGUGUAGCAGUGAAAUGCGUAGAUAUGCGGAGGAACACCGAUGGCGAAGGCAAUCCCCUGGGCCUGCACUGACGCUCAUGCACGAAAGCGUGGGGAGCAAACAGGAUUAGAUAGCCCUGGUAGUCCACGCCCUAAAACGAUGUCAACUGGUUGUUGGGAAGGUUCCUUCUCAGUAACGUAGCUAACGCGUGAAGUUGACCGCCUGGGGAGUACGGCCGCAAGGUU